GGGGGUGUAGCUCAUAUGCUAGAGCGUUCGCUUCGCAUGCGAGAGGCACGGGGUUCGAUUCCCCGCACCUCCA
rfam:Triticum aestivum genome assembly, contig: Triticum_aestivum_CS42_TGACv1_scaffold_159635_2DL